rnacentral:rRNA from 1 species
AACGAACGCUGGCGGCAUGCCUAACACAUGCAAGUCGAACGAGAUCUUCGGGUCUAGUGGCGCACGGGUGCGUAACGCGUGGGAAUCUGCCCCUUGGUUCGGAAUAACAGUUGGAAACGACUGCUAAUACCGGAUGAUGACGAAAGUCCAAAGAUUUAUCGCCAGAGGAUGAGCCCGCGUAGGAUUAGCUAGUUGGUGUGGUAAAGGCGCACCAAGGCGACGAUCCUUAGCUGGUCUGAGAGGAUGAUCAGCCACACUGGGACUGUGACACGGCCCAGACUCCUACGGGAGGCAGCAGUGGGGAAUAUUGGACAAUGGGCGAAAGCCUGAUCCAGCAAUGCCGCGUGAGUGAUGAAGGCCUUAGGGUUGUAAAGCUCUUUUACCCGGGAUGAUAAUGACAGUACCGGGAGAAUAAGCUCCGGCUAACUCCGUGCCAGCCGCCGCUGUAACAC